CACUGCUAAUAUAUAAGCUAUUUGAAU
rnacentral:tRNA from 1 species